ensembl:lncRNA
AUGCGUGCAGGUUUGUGUAAGACUGGCACCUUGCUGACUCACGCGCCGUGUCGCAGCAUGCCGCUCCCCGCAGCCCUUGUGCAAGCUCCCCGAGGCGGCGGGCGGCCGCAGGAACCCUCUCUGCUUCGUGGGGUGAAGCUGCUGGAAGGACACAGGCCACGUCUGGGUGGCUCUGUUCCAGUGCUGUGCAUGGCUGCGGCUUGGUUUGGUUUUCCACCCUGCAGAUCUGGGCAGAGACUGGGCAUCGAAAGAAAACCGAUACGAGAUACACAGAAAAUGAGAAAAGUCUUCAGCUCUACGCCGCAGGCUGAAUUUUCUCCACAGAGGAUACCUGCAGCAUGCACAGACUUCACUGCCAGAAGGAACGAGUCAUUUAUUAGGUUUAUAUAGCACCGGGCACUUCGAGCAAGUCAUACAGAGCCAUGUGAUUCAUGCAAACCGCAGAGCUAAUCCUGAGACAGUGUCAUCGGUGAAGAAAAGCUAAGCUGCGACUGGCACUCCUGGCCAGGAACAAGCAGGGUCUCUGCCCUGGCUGUCUGGGGACGACGUCCCAGGGCUCCAAGCCCAGAGCUCACCAGGCUCACGGCAGCGGCGGCAGCGAGGAAUCCAGCCAUUGUCAGCGCCGUCCGACACAAGAACACAGGGCUUGAGUUGAUUAUUUGUGUCUGUUUCAACCGGGACAGUCCUAAUUUUCAAUUGCUGGUUUUUAUUUCAGUAAUCGGAAAGCACUCCUAAUUCAUUUUGCUCUUUUCUUCUGUGCGUCUUGAAAACAGCGCUGUGCUCAGACGAUAAAACAUCCUCUUGCUCUCCAAAAGUGUUUUUAUGUUCUUGUGUGAUGUGAAUUCUAAUCAGGCCUGUGGCAACAGCAUUAAUCUGAUAUUUUUUUUCCAAUUCCAUUUGAAGCUGUUGACCUCCUAUCAGAUAUUUUCAAAUCAGCAGCUCAUCUUUUCCUAUGAAACAAGCCCAAAUAUAAUAUGUAUUUCUCACCUCCUUGGUGCUCUGAAACUAAAAAAAAAAGAAAAAAAAAAGAGUGAUGAGGUUGCUACACAUCUAGUGUAACAGCAGGGCUGCUUCGUUGUUUCCUGGGUUGCUGUCAGCAUUUGACGAGAAGGGAAGGCAAAAGGUGGUUUAGUAUUGUAAGAGCAAAGGUGCUGUGAAACUCCAUGCUGGGGACCAUCCAAAAAAUCCACCUGUGCUUUGCAGCCCCUACAAAUCCUUCCUUAAAACUCAUUCAUGCAUUAAAAAAAUAUGUUUUGUAGUCUUGGUGCUGUAUCAUGAUAGAGAAACUCAAGAUAAACAGGCAAAGUAAAUCUUCCUGUGAUUUUGUAAAGGUUGUUCACGGCUGUAACAUUAAUUCAUUGUUCAGGAAACCUUCCCUUCGGUGGAAUAUAUCAUGUGCCUGCCUUUGUCAGGCGAUUGCUGAGGAUGUAUCCCCAACACGUCAACGCAGCGCUGCAGCUGUGUGCGGUCACCGGUAACUUUCUGGACACUGGAGAAGCUCCGAGGGAAAGUAAAUGUCAUGGAAGUUCAUGAAGAAGGUAGAUAGAUAGAAAGAUGUAAGUAUUUAUAGGCCUGUCUCCCUGACACGAGUCCCAGCAGCACAAUAGAGUGACUCACAUGGAUCCCGAUUAACAAGGAGGGAAAUAUAAUUAAUGCCAAUCAACAGGGUUUUAUGGGAAGGGACCCUUUCAAACUGACGUGUUAUCUUUUACUGAGCAGAUUGCAAGAUUGAGUGAUAAAGUUAACAAAGCUGAUGGAAAAAAAAAAAACAACUUUGACUUCUUUAAGGCCCCCGACUUGUGGCAGCAGAAGGAUGGGAACGCCGUGUGGCACGUCCCCAGCACCUAGCUGAUCGCCUUACACCACCACCGUGCUGCUCCUGGAGGGGCUCUGGGGGCACCUCAGGUGGCAGACCCUGCUCCCUG